UCGCUCUAGGGUUUUGGGGCGCUAGGGCGCGGAGUCGUCAGCUCCGAGUCGUAAGCAGUUUUCCGCGUAGCUCCGAGUCCAGUACCGGCGUGCGAGGCAGAGGGACGUGGCAGGCAGGAUGUCAUUUUCAAAAUCCGGGAUGGUGCCUCUGCCUCAUUAACUGCCGUAGGAAGGCUGCUACACCUAGGCGGAUGCUUGCUUAUUGAUCCUGACCGUUAUUCCGACUAACGCCCUGUGUCGUUGAGUAUAUCUGUUAAGAUGCUUUAGAAAAAGAAUCAUGGA